GACGAACGCUGGCGGCGUGCUUAACACAUGCAAGUCGAACGAUGACGCCCGAGCUUGCUCGGUCUGAUUAGUGGCGAACGGGUGAGUAACACGUGAGCAACCUGCCCUUCACUCUGGGAUAACCUCGGGAAAUCGGGGCUAAUACCGGAUAUGAGCUCCUGUCGCAUGGCGGGUGUUGGAAAGUUUUUCGGUGAAGGAUGGGCUCGCGGCCUAUCAGUUUGUUGGUGAGGUAGUGGCUCACCAAGGCGAUGACGGGUAGCCGGCCUGAGCGGGCGACCGGCCACACUGGGACUGAGACACGGCCCAGACUCCUACGGGAGGCAGCAGUGGAGAAUAUUGCACAAUGGGCGAAAGCCUGAUGCAGCGACGCCGCGUGAGUGAUGACGGCCUUCGGGUUGUAAACCUCUUUCAGCAGGGAAGAAGCGAAAGUGACGGUACCUGCAGAAGAAGCGCCGGCUAACUACGUG
rnacentral:rRNA from 1 species